AGAAGAGGUCAGAGCUGGAGAGAAAACUUCGAAAGAAAUAAAUUUGAGAUUCAUCAAUGUAUAGCUAAAGUGCUUGUUCAAGUCAUAUGGUGGAGCUGGGCCUCUCAACUUUAUCACAUCAUGCAUAUAUGGAAAAUGAUGCCAGCACCAUGUGCAGGGGGAAAUGGAGAAGGCCUUUGGUGGCUGGAGCAAACAGGCCUGGGGCAUAGGCGACAGCUCUAGGGACUGACUGAAGAGAAAAAUAUUUCAGCAUACUUCUAAUGUAUCAAAGUCACCAGUUCUGAGUUGCGUUUUGUAUUUAAGGGUGUGAGGUUUAAAAUUUUUUGAGUAGAUGCUCACAUCCAGGCACAGACACCUACUAACUCUAUUAUAUUGGGUAAGUAACUUCAUUUCUUUGACACUCAGUUUUUACAUCUGUAAAAUGGAGCUGAUGAGGAUGACUACUUCAGACAGUGUCUAUGAUUAAAUCAGAGUGUUGAUUCCUUAGCAAAUUCCUUGACAAGUACUCAACAUUCAAUAAGUUUCAUUUUUUUACCCACCCCUCAUUCCCAUUCUACCAAGUUCAGAUCUACUUGGAACAGAGUUGGAGAGGGCCGUUAUAGGUGUAUGGAGCACUCUUAGUCAGCAAUGAAUUAAGUCAUGGAAAUAGCAUAAAAACAUAUGUGAGAAGCAAGCAUGUGUCAUCAAGGUCCAAAUGAAAUCUGUUCAUUGAAUGGAAAGAAGUUAUUCAUCUGCUUUUUGUCCAGGCUCCUCUGUCAGCUCUCACAUUAUUUUGGCAACUGAAAAUCAAAUCUCUUUCCUCUGGCAAUAAAACUUCCCCAUUCAUCUAUCUCUGAUAGUUUGACAAUGUUGCCUUUGUGCUUCUCAUACAUCUCAAUAAAGGAAAGUGUCAUGUUGUACCAUG